rnacentral:rRNA from 1 species
CUAACGUUGACCCGUAAUCCGGGUUGCGGACAGUGUCUGGUGGGUAGUUUGACUGGGGCGGUCUCCUCCUAAAGAGUAACGGAGGAGCACGAAGGUUGGCUAAUCCUGGUCGGACAUCAGGAGGUUAGUGCAAUGGCAUAAGCCAGCUUGACUGCGAGCGUGACGGCGCGAGCAGGUGCGAAAGCAGGUCAUAGUGAUCCGGUGGUUCUGAAUGGAAGGGCCAUCGCUCAACGGAUAAAAGGUACUCCGGGGAUAACAGGCUGAUACCGCCCAAGAGUUCAUAUCGACGGCGGUGUUUGGCACCUCGAUGUCGGCUCAUCACAUCCUGGGGCUGAAGUAGGUCCCAAGGGUAUGGCUGUUCGCCAUUUAAAGUGGUACGCGAGCUGGGUUUAGAACGUCGUGAGACAGUUCGGUCCCUAUCUGCCGUGGGCGCUGGAGAACUGAGGGGGGCUGCUCCUAGUACGAGAGGACCGGAGUGGACGCAUCACUGGUGUUCGGGUUGUCAUGCCAAUGGCACUGCCCGGUAGCUAAAUGCGGAAGAGAUAAGUGCUGAAAGCAUCUAAGCACGAAACUUGCCCCGAGAUGAGUUCUCCCUGACUCCUUGAGAGUCCUGAAGGAACGUUGAAGACGACGACGUUGAUAGGCCGGGUGUGUAAGCGCAGCGAUGCGUUGAGCUAACCGGUACUAAUGAACCG